rnacentral:rRNA from 1 species
UACGCAGGGUGCAAGCGUUAUCCGGAAUUAUUGGGCGUAAAGGGCUCGUAGGCGGUUCGUCGCGUCUGGUGUGAAAGUCCAUCGCUUAACGGUGGAUCUGCGCCGGGUACGGGCGGGCUGGAGUGCGGUAGGGGGAGACUGGAAUUCCCGGUGUAACGGUGGAAUGUGUAGAUAUCGGGAAGAACACCAACUAGGCGGAA